GACGUAGGGCGCGAGCGUUGUCCGGAUUUAUUGGGCGUAAAGAGCUCGUAGGCGGCUUGUCGCGUCGACUGUGAAAUCCCGCGGCUCAACCGCGGGUCUGCAGUCGAUACGGGCAGGCUAGAGUUCGGUAGGGGAGAUUGGAAUUCCUGGUGUAGCGGUGGAAUGCGCAGAUAUCAGGAGGAACACCGAUGGCGAAGGCAGAUCUCUGGGCCGUAACUGACGCUGAGGAGCGAAAGCAUGGGGAGCGAACAGG
rnacentral:rRNA from 1 species